rnacentral:rRNA from 1 species
UACGUAGGGUGCGAGCGUUGUCCGGAAUUAUUGGGCGUAAAGAGCCCGUAGGCGGUGUGUCGCGUCGGCCGUGAAAACCUGGGGCUCAACUCUGGGCGUGCGGUCGAUACGGGCAUCACUUGAGUUCGGCAGGGGAGACUGGAAUUCCUGGUGUAGCGGUGAAAUGCGCAGAUAUCAGGAGGAACACCGGUGGCGAAGGCGGGUCUCUGGGCCGAUACUGACGCUGAGGAGCGAAAGCAUGGGUAGCGAACAGG